GAUUCUUUAAUAUAAUUUAGUAUAUUUGACUUCCAAUCAAAAAGUUUUAAGGAUUA
rnacentral:tRNA from 1 species